UGAAUUUGCAUAACGGUGUGCUUUGGUAUGUUUACAGGCUCUUUCAUGGUUCUUACUAUGUACUCGCUGGAAACAUCUGUAGUCACCAAAUUGAUGAGGGGGAUGCCAGCUUGAAAGUCAAUUCCACCCAUCCACUGUAUGGCAUGUUUGUUCCAUUGGCUGCCACCAGCCGCAGACUGUCUGGUGCUUCAGUUGCCUCAGAAAUGUUUCUCAAUGUCACUGCAGAUAACAGGUCACAAGGCAUUGUUUGCCUACUAAGGACGUGAUGGCAGAAUGCUGGUUAACUUGACAAGGGGCAGCUAAAAUAUUAUCAAGCGACUGAAACUCAAGCUGUCUCUCAAGGCCCAUGCUACAUUUCUCGUAUU